UUAGUACUCCCUUCGUCCGAAAAUACUUGUCAUCAAAAUGGACAAAAAGAUCUAGAACUAAAAUAAAUCUAGAUACAUCCUUUUUUAUUCAUUUUGAUGACAAUUAUUUUCGAACGGAGAAAGUAUAAG
rfam:Triticum aestivum genome assembly, contig: Triticum_aestivum_CS42_TGACv1_scaffold_425061_5BS